AUUGAACGCUGGCGGCAGGCUUAACACAUGCAAGUCGAACGAGUGGCGGACGGGUGAGUAAUGCUUGGGAAUCUCGCUUAUGGGGGGGGAUAACUACGGGAAACUGUAGCUAAUACCACGUACCAUAGGCUGCGCCCAAGUGGGAUUAGGUAGUUGGUGAGGUAAAGGCUCACCAAGCCGACGAUCUCUAGCUGGUCUGAGAGGAUGACCAGCCACACUGGGACUUAGACACGGCCCAUCCUCCUACGCGUGGCAUCGGUGUGGAAUAUUGCGCAUUGGUGCCUGCCUCAUGUGGCCCUGCCGGGACCAUGACGAAGGCCUCCGCGUUCUAUACUUCGAAGGUUAUUAAGCCGUUGGCCACGCACGAUGCAACGGCUAACGCCGUGCCAGCAGCCGCGGUAAUAC
rnacentral:rRNA from 1 species